rnacentral:lncRNA from 1 species
AGAAGUCCUAUGAUCUUCUUCUCCAAAGGCCUUAAUAAUGAAAACAAUGUUGAAAGAAAGAAAAACUUGGGUGUCACCUUAAAAGAAGUGUUGCAUACUAGUCACAGACAAAAACCUAUGUAGGGAAGCUAGCACCAACGAAAGAGAUCACAAGCGAAUAAGAAGGAGAAUUUCUCAAAUCCACAAGUAGAGAAAGGAGAAGGAUAUGCAUUUCCAUUAUGAUGAACCAUUUGAUAUACCACCAUGGGAAGAGAGAACCACAC